rnacentral:rRNA from 1 species
GCCUGCCAGCCCGCUCAGAACCUUAAAUGAUUGACGGGGCCGCACAAGCGGAGGAACAUGUGGUUUAAUUCGAUGAUACGCGAGGAACCUUACCUGGGCUAGAACGCAAUCGGAAUCAGGCCGAAAGGUCUGCGCCAGCGAUGGCCGGUUGCGAGGUGCUGCAUGGUUGUCGUCAGCUCGUGCCGUGAGGUGUCGGGUUAAGUCCCAUAACGAGCGCAACCCCUACUGCUAGUUGCCAGCGGGUCAUGCCGGGGACUCUAGCGGAACUGCCAGCGUAAGCUGCGAGGAAGGUGGGGAUGACGUCAAAUCAGCACGGCCCUUACGUCCAGGGCUACACACGUGUUACAAUGGCCAGUACAGAGGGCAGCCACCCCGCGAGGGGGCGCUAAUCCUAAAAGCUGGUCCCAGUUCGGAUCGGAGUCUGCAACCCGACUCCGUGAAGCUGGAUUCGCUAGUAAUCGCGCAUCAGCCACGGCGCGGUGAAUACGUUCCCGGGCCUU